rnacentral:ribozyme from 1 species
AGCAAUACUACACUGGUAAGGUAUGGAUUCGUAACCUCUUGAAGGUCAACAAAGGCUCUCCAUACCCUACCUCGACUCAAUACGUCCCCGGCGUAUAGAACGGUAACAUGUCUCUCCAAAUAUCUGAGCUUGGGUAUACGGGGAAACCCACCCCCUUGGGAAGAUG